rnacentral:rRNA from 1 species
UCUACGGGAGGCAGCAGUGAGGAAUAUUGGUCAAUGGACGAGAGUCUGAACCAGCCAAGUAGCGUGAAGGCUGACUGCCCUAUGGGUUGUAAACUUCUUUUAUAUGGGAAUAAAACGUUCCACGUGUGGGAUUUUGUAUGUACCAUAUGAAUAAGGAUCGGCUCACUCCGUGCCAGCCGCCGCGGUAAUACGGAGGAUCCGAGCGUUAUCCGGAUUUGUUGGGUUUAAAGGGAGCGUAGGUGGAUUGUUAAGUCAGUUGUGAAAGUUUGCGGCUCAACCGGAAAAUUGCAGUUGAAACUGGCAGUCUUGAGUACAGUAGAGGUGGGCGGAAUGCGUGGGGUAGCGGUGAAAUGCUUAGAUAUCACGAAGAACUCCGAUUGCGAAGGCAGUUCACUGGACUGCAACUGACACUGAGGCUCGAAAGUGUGGGUAUCAAACAGGAUUAGAUACCCCAGUAGUC